rnacentral:rRNA from 1 species
UACGGAGGGUGCAAGCGUUAAUCGGAAUUACUGGGCGUAAAGCGUGCGCAGGCGGUUUGUUAAGUCCGUUGUGAAAGCCCCGAGCUCAACUUGGGAAUUGCAGUGGAUACUGGCAGGCUGGAGUACGGUAGAGGAAGGUGGAAUUCCCGGUGUAGCAGUGAAAUGCGUAGAUAUCGGGAGGAACACCAGUGGCGAAGGCGGCUCACUGGCCCGAUACUGACGCUGAGGUGCGAAAGCGUGGGGAGCAAACAGG